GUGGGGAAUGAAGAGAUCAAGAAAAGUGCCUCGAAAAAUCCUGUGUUUUGAACAGCUGCUUCUUAAAAUACUUAGAUGAGGAUAUUAAACACAGAAUAUAACAAAAAGAUUAUCAAGAAAUAAAUGUCUGUGGUUCAUUACUGAAGUAUGUAUGUGUAUACACUUAGUAAUGAAGUUGAUGUUGAUAACAGCAGUUCUAAAAUAGUAACAGAUGGCCAGUCUGCUACAGAUAGUUAUCGAUUACAAUUCUGCUAUUAAGUUUUGAAAACCGAAUGUAAACAGGCACGAUUUGGACAGAGAGGAACCUGAUGGGGUUCAACAAGGGCAAGCGUUGAGUGCUACGCCUGGAAGAAAUGACUGCACGUAUCAGUAGAGGUGCUGACCUGCUGAAGAGGAGCUCUGCAGAGAAGGACCCGGGUGUUCUGGGAGACAACGGGUUGGUCAUGAGCCAGCAGUGUGCCCUCGUGGCCAAGAAGUCCAACCGCUUCCUGGGGUGCAUUAAAGAGAGCAUGGACAGCAGGUCAAGGGAGGUGAUCCUCUGUGAUGAGGCCACAUCUGGAGUACUGUGUCCAGGACUACUUGCAUACCUGGAACAAGGAAGGGAAAAGGUUUGUUUCCAAAAGAGAACAACUGUUGGAGAAACUGCCAUUUUUCACCAUCUUUAAAAUUCCUUCUGAUCUGUUCCACAGCAUAACACAGAAAUUGUCUUCCUCCUCUGAGCUGCAGUAGAGGGAAAUUGCAAAGUAAUCACUGACUGUGUACUGGAAGUCAUCUGAGAAUCAACUGCAAUCACCGCAAGCUCAUUUGGAGUACCAGGUAGACAUGCUUCAUUCUUAAUGCUAAAUAUCCAGGGAGAUCAUUCCAGUAAACAGGAUUUAGC
ensembl:lncRNA